AACGCUGGCGGCGUGCUUAACACAUGCAAGUCGAACGCGAAAGGGACUUCGGUCCUGAGUAAAGUGGCGCACGGGUGAGUAACGCGUAGAUAACCUGUCUUCAUGUCUGGAAUAAUACGCCAAAGGGGUACUAAUACCGGAUAUUCUUGCUUUUCAUAAGUUAUGCAAGCAAAGGUGGCCUCUGCAUAUGCUACUGCAUGAAGAGGGGUCUGCGUACCAUUAGCUAGUAGGUGGGGUAAUGGCCUACCUAGGCGACGAUGGUUAGCGGGUCUGAGAGGAUGAUCCGCCACACUGGCACUGGAACACGGGCCAGACUCCUACGGGAGGCAGCAGUGAGGAAUAUUGCGCAAUGGGGGAAACCCUGACGCAGCGACGCCGCGUGAGUGAGGAAGGCCUUCGGGUCGUAAAGCUCUGUCAAGAGGAAAGAAGUGUACAAUGGCUAAUACCUGUUGUAUUUGACGGUACCUCUAAAGGAAGCACCGGCUAACUCCGUGCCAGCCGCCGC
rnacentral:rRNA from 1 species